rnacentral:rRNA from 1 species
GAUGAACGCUGGCGGCGUGCCUAAUACAUGCAAGUCGAGCGAACAGACGAGGAGCUUGCUCCUUUGACGUUAGCGGCGGACGGGUGAGUAACACAUGGGUAACCUACCUAUAAGACUGGGAUAACUUCGGGAAACCGGAGCUAAUACCGGAUAAUAUUUCGAACCGCAUGGUUCGAUAGUGAAAGAUGGCUUUGCUAUCACUUAUAGAUGGACCUGCGCCGUAUUAGCUAGUUGGUAAGGUAACGGCUUACCAAGGCAACGAUACGUAGCCGACCUGAGAGGGUGAUCGGCCACACUGGAACUGAGACACGGUCCAGACUCCUACGGGAGGCAGCAGUAGGGAAUCUUCCGCAAUGGGCGAAAGCCUGACGGAGCAACGCCGCGUGAGUGAUGAAGGUCUUCGGAUCGUAAAACUCUGUUAUUAGGGAAGAACAAACGUGUAAGUAACUGUGCACGUCUUGACGGUACCUAAUCAGAAAGCCACGGCUAACUACGUG